rnacentral:rRNA from 1 species
GGAGUCUGGACCGUGUCUCAGUUCCAAUGUGGCCGUUCACCCUCUCAGGCCGGCUACUGAUCGUCGCCUUGGUGAGCCGCUGCCUCACCAACUAGCUAAUCAGACGCGGGACCAUCCUUCACCGAUAAAUCUUUGGCAUCAUGGCCAUGCGACCUCGAUGCGUUAUGAGGUAUUAAUCGAAGUUUCCCUCGGCUGUCCCUCUGUGAAGGGCAGGUUUCCCACGCGUUACUCACCCGUCCGCCGCUAUGCAUUGCUGCACCGCUCGACUUGCAUGUAUAAGACACGCCACCAGCGUUCGUU